rnacentral:rRNA from 1 species
AUUGAACGCUGGCGGCAUGCCUUACACAUGCAAGUCGAACGGCAGCACGGGUUCUUGCACCUGGUGGCGAGUGGCGAACGGGUGAGUAAUACAUCGGAACAUGUCCUGUAGUGGGGGAUAGCCCGGCGAAAGCCGGAUUAAUACCGCAUACGAUCUACGGCUGAAAGCGGGGGACCUUCGGGCCUCGCGCUAUAGGGUUGGCCGAUGGCUGAUUAGCUAGUUGGUGGGGUAAAGGCCUACCAAGGCGACGAUCAGUAGCUGGUCUGAGAGGACGACCAGCCACACUGGGACUGAGAGACGGCCCAGAGUCCUACGGGAGGCAGCAGUGGGGAAUUUUGGACAAUGGGCGAAAGCCUGAUCCAGCAAUGCCGCGUGUGUGAAGAAGGCCUUCGGGUUGUAAAGCACUUUUGUCCGGAAAGAAAUCCUUGGCUCUAAUACAGUCGGGGGAUGACGGUACCGGAAGAAUAAGCACCGGCUAACUACGUG